ensembl:lncRNA
AUGACAUCACAGAGCAACACAGAAGAGACUCUAUUUCACCCCAGAUUUAAACACUUGACAUCAUCACUUGUAAGCGAGGCAUGUAAGAAUUGGUGUAUGCCACUGGCCUUCAUGACCCGAGAAAAAUGGGGCUGUAAAGUCUUGGUGGCAGUGCUGCAGUCCUGUGCUGCUCCCCUGAGCAAUUCCACAGCCUCUCAAACACAGAAGCAGCAUUUCAUGAAGAGAAGAACAGUUCUUGAAGGAAAGAAAGUCUGGGGAAACCAGCUAUGGCAAAUUACCUCCGACUCUGUCUGCAGCCAUUACACCAUCAAAGGAAAGGAGCACUUCACGACAAUAAAACUGACAUGUAAAUGCAUGAUAAGAUGUUGAGCAGUGGUUGUUUGUUUUGUGCCAGGAAAUGAAAAAGACUUCAAGUUGUAAGGAUGAAGAGAGCUACAAAACAGUAAUUUUUGUAGCUUAUUUAAUAGAAACAUGUUGACUAUUAAAGAGUUUAUUUUUUUAUUAGAAGCAGUCUGAACAGGUAUUUAGAUGUGCCUAGAUAUUAAAGACACAGAAUGCAAAGAAUUGAGAAGCAAAAUAAAAUAUUGUUAUAGCUGUAGCUCUACUCA